rnacentral:tmRNA from 1 species
UGCAGGUGGAGAGCCCAUCUCCUGAUUGGGCAAAAAUUUAACUGCCAACUACGACAGUUACGAUUACGCCUUAGCUGCGUAAUUGCGUGGAACCGUUCCGCCGCCCUGAGGGACGGCUUCCGCGUUGCAAUCAGGGCUGGCUGUGCCGCUCUUUCCGGAGGCGGUGCGGCAAGAUUUUCCGGAAUACGGACAGGCCGCGCGCUGUUUAGCCAAACCGGUCCCGACAAAGGCUUGCUUACAAGCUUAAUAAACAGCUAAACCUGUAGAUGCCUGUGUUUCACGUAUUAGGACGGGGGUUCGACUCCCCCCACCUCCAGAA